UCCUGUCCAGUCUUCUUUAAGCCCCACUGCUCUAAUCACCUAAGGAAAUAAGUGAUUCUCGAAUGUUAAGGACCAUGAAGGAUCCAUUAUGUCUUAGAUGAGCCCAGGAAUCUACUUACUUAAGGGUUAUCCUCUAACACUGGUGAUCUCUUGGAGGAACACAGACAUGGGAACCACUGGAGGGAGGGGUGAUGGAACCGUUUUUUCCAACUGACACAAGCUUUGCUCUGCUCAGCCUCUGGCCAUGACUACAGAAAGGACAGAAAUGGAUCUUACAUUUCUUAGAAGAAAAACUAUGAAGUCAGUAUCAGAAGCAGUAAUGGAUAGAUAUGAAAGACCUUGGACUUUUCCAGUUACAUUCUCCACCCCUGUGUCAAAGCAAGUAAGUGCAAGGAAAUUUGUUUCAUAGACAGACUGGGGUGAGAAUUCUUCCAAUACACUGAGCCAGAUGACCGGCUUAGGCCUGAGCUCAUCCUUCUGGCUGUACAUUUGCACAUCUGUAUAUCUGGGAAACACAGGAAUGAGCUAAAGUGGAACAAGAUACCAGGAGACUCCAGAAAGAUUGGGUCUUCUAGAAAGCUUUCCCUGCAGCCUAAUGGAAAGAGUUCCUUUGGACAGGAGACAAGAAAGCUCGGAGGAUUCUCCCUGAAGAACGUUCUCUGACACGGUUCCAGUAUUUAAUGAGAAGAAUUAACUUGGUACAAUACUUCACACUUGAUGGAACUGCCAAGAGAAUUAAUAAGUACAAUCCAGUUGGAAAAUGCAUUACAAAGCACACAUUUGGGACGUCAUCACACAUGCCAGCUGAAGACUGAGCCUUUGUGACAUGAAAUAAAGUGACAAAUGCAAGUGGUAGAUCCA
rnacentral:lncRNA from 1 species